GAAACUUCUGCAUAAGUGCCUGUAGGGCAACAGGGAAGCAAGAAAGGGAAGCGUUGCCUUGUGGUACUCUCCAUGCAUCUGGGAACUGUUCCAGCACAGCCCAGGAAGAACAGGCCUGGAAAUCAGUGUGGUGAUUUAUUUCAGAACAGUGUGGCUGAUUUCCAUGCAUCUACUGAACACAGCUGGACAGCCUAUGAUGAUGUAAAAGAGAAUCACAUUUUGAAGAAAAGGAGACAUACAGCUGAAUGACCUUUCCUCCAGCUGCUUUUCUUUUACUUCAAGAGUCAGAACACCAGAGAAGAAACAAUUUGUUCUGUAGAGUCACCAUUUGUCAGAAACAAGCAGGAGGGACAAUAAAUUGCAAAGCAAGCUCUGUUUCAAUGAGCCUCGACCAUCUGGUAUUAAUUGAGAUGUUUGAACACCUCAUGAAAAACAGACUCAUGAAUCUGUUUUACAUAUCUGAAGUAUUUCCAAGCACAGUAAGUAGCAGUGGUUUUUGCUGCUAA
rnacentral:lncRNA from 1 species